AUUGAACGCUGGCGGCAUGCUUAACACAUGUAAGUCGAACGAGUGGCGGACGGGUGAGUAAUGCUUGGGAAUCUAGCUUAUGGAGGGGGAUAACUACGGGAAACUGUAGCUAAUACCGCGUACCAUAGGCUGAGCCCAAGUGGGAUUAGGUAGUUGGUGAGGUAAAGGCUGACCAAGGCGACGAUCUCUAGCUGGUCUGAGAGGAGGACCAGCCACACUGGGACUGAGACACGGCCCAGACUCCUACGGGAGGCAGCAGUGGGGAAUAUGGCGCAAUGGGGGCAACCUGACGCAGCCAUGCCGCGUGAAUGAAGAAGGCCUUCGGGUUGUAAAGUUCUUUCGGUAGCGAGGCGUUAACUACAGAGAAAGCACCGGCUAACUCCGUGCCAGCAGCCGCGGUAAUAC
rnacentral:rRNA from 1 species